rnacentral:rRNA from 1 species
AGUGAACGCUGGCGGUAGGCCUAACACAUGCAAGUCGAACGGCAGCACAGUAAGAGCUUGCUCUUACGGGUGGCGAAUGGCGGACGGGUGAGGAAUACAUCGGAAUCUACUUUUUCGUGGGGGAUAACGUAGGGAAACUUACGCUAAUACCGCAUACGACCUACGGGUGAAAGCAGGGGAUCUUCGGACCUUGCGCGAUUGAAUGAGCCGAUGUCGGAUUAGCUAGUUGGCGGGGUAAAGGCCCACCAAGGCGACGAUCCGUAGCUGGUCUGAGAGGAUGAUCAGCCACACUGGAACUGAGACACGGUCCAGACUCCUACGGGAGGCAGCAGUGGGGAAUAUUGGACAAUGGGCGCAAGCCUGAUCCAGCCAUACCGCGUGGGUGAAGAAGGCCUUCGGGUUGUAAAGCCCUUUUGUUGGGAAAGAAAAGCAGCAGGUUAAUACCCCGCUGUUCUGACGGUACCCAAAGAAUAAGCACCGGCUAACUCCGUG